UCGAUGGUGGUUCCAUUUUCAAUCGCCCUGGUCGCAGCCAUGAUUUCUCCUGGAGCCAGCGCCCAAAGCAAUGUACUAGCAAAAGUAUCCUGCAUUACUUUUCACGUUCCCGACUUGCUGAAUAUAAGUAAGUGCUUGGGCGAUGUGCUGCAAAUGUGUGGAAAAGGUC
rnacentral:lncRNA from 1 species